UCAUGCUUGUCCUGCUCGAGGAGCAGGAGGAGGAGGGGCGCAUCUAGCCAGCCACAAAGGGCCUGCUCUGUACGACCACGUCAUCGGCCUGCUGCAGCAUCGAGUUCAAUAUGUCAGGAGCUCGAGGUCUACAAAAUUUGAAGAUCGAAACCAUAUAGCUCUACUCAGCAAAGAGCCGUCUCUUCUGUUUGAUUGUAAUAGAAUGUAAAUAUUGCAAUAUUGUAAUAGUAGGCAUAUCUGGGUUGUA